UGAUGCAAAACAUGUCCACCAAUGUGUGAUGUUUUACAAUCAAUUGCACCUGCUCAUUGUCAAAAUCCAUGCACAGUGUAAUGGUGACACUAAUAUUUGGCUCUCUUAUUAUCUUCCGCAGUGGUUCAUCAUAUCACAACAAGUUGGCCUAUCGUUUUUUGUGUAUAGGGAAAUAACACAGAAACUAAUACAAGGUGUGUUACCUCAACAUCAAUAAAUCUCCUCAAAAUCAUUUGAGAUUUGACUUGGCACUGAUUUAUCUGUCAAUGGGACAAUUAAAUCCCUUUAUCAUUUAUAUCAGAUCUCCAAAUUUGAAGAUGUGAAGUUUGAAGCUACUAUCAACAGAUGCUGCUCGGGUUGUUUUGAUCUCUCUUAUUUCAUCUAAUGGCUUCUUCUUUCAAGAACUUGGUGGAUGCUAAACCAGUGCUGCGGAAGAUGGUCCAGAUUUCUCAGCAGUCUCCGUACUUGCACUGCAGACUGCUUUUUCAGCUGGCACAACUCCAUGUGCCAUGUGUGAAGGACUUGAUAUCUACCUGAUCUCCAGGGAGUUCGAUUCAGGAGAUUCAUGAGCUUAGAGUACACAAGAAGGUGACGGGGAUGCACUCCAUGCAUGCAGGCUACUUGGAGAAGGCACAGAAGUACACAGACAAAUCUCAAAUGCAGCUGGAGAAGCUGAAGAUGCUGGACAGCAGAUCAUUCUGUCCACGUUCCAGGUCCUCCUGCUGGCGCACAUCAUCAUGUGCCGGCUGGUCACCGGACACAAGGCCACAGCUUUACAACAGAUGACGACAAACCAGGAGCUGUGGAUGUUGACUGUGACCAAUCUGGCCGGUGUCUACAUCUGGGAAGGCAACAGACAUCAAGAGGUGCGCAGCCUUCUAGAGAGGAUUGAUCCUGAGCACAACUUUCCUGUCAGAAGAUGCCUAAUGCUGAGGAUCUAAACAGGCUGACCGCCUGCUCGCUAGUCCUGCUGGGUCACAUCUUUUUUGUCCUGGGCAACCACAGGGAAAGUAGCGAUAUGGUGGAUCGUGCCAUGCAGCUGGCCAGCGAGAUCCCAGACUUGUCUGUGCAGCUCUGGUCCUCUGCACGCCUUAAAGAUCUGAACAAGGCUUGUAGAAACGCCAUGGCGGCCCACGAGGCAGCUCAGAUGCACCAGAACCUUUCAAAGCAGCUCCAGCAGGGCCACGUCGCAGCCCGCAGCCUCCCUGAACACCAGCUCAUCCUUUUGGACAGACGGCCUCCCCCCUGUGCAGUUUCAGCCUCAGAAUGGCCCUGCUACCAGCCUGGCCAGGCUGAGAUCAAAACCCCACCCUGACUGGGAAAAGGCAACACAGAAGAGCAAUUGCAGGGAAAAUUACAUAAAAAAAAAAAAAAGAUUAACUGAAAAUAGGCAAAGCAGAUGAUAACUGGGUAAGAAGAUGGGGCGUUAUAAUAAAAUUGUGUAAUUUAGCAGGCUUUUAUUCAGG